GUAUUUUAAAAGCUUCAAUCGGUAUGAGCACAGAUAUUGGUCAAUAAUUGGAUUCUUCAUAUUCCCAUUAAGCUUCUUCAUUCUUCUUAAACCUUAUCUUGGUCCUCUACCAAUUUUGAAUUUGCAGUCCAUGGAUAAUGGAAUCACAGUACUAGCAAUUGAGAAUUCAAACAGUUCUCAUCCAUCAAUUGGAGAGGUAAUAGAUAGAAAGCAGAUCUGCAAUGUUUCAGAUCCAAAAUUUGAUUUUUGUGAUGUUGAGGGAGAUAUUAGGAUUCAUGGGAAGUCUUCCACAAUCUUUGUUGCUUCAUCUCAACUGGGUGAUUUGGUAGGAAAUGAAUCAUGGACUGUAAAACCUUAUCCUCGAAAAAGAGACCAAUACAUGAUGGGAAUGAUUAAGAAAUUUUCAGUAAA